UAUUGGAGACUCUCAUCGCAGUACCACAGUCAAUCUACUUAAUAAGUCUCGGAACCCCUACUUCCCUCGUGAAUUCUUGUGUCAUGUGUGUUCCUAGUGCUCUACUGCAUUCCCGUUCCACACCAUUCCUUCCACCAAGCAGGCCACCUGUUCAAUCCACUGCCUGCCACCUGUCCAUGCUUGGACCUGCCAACACAUCACUGGACGACCCCCACAAACUUUUGUCAAUAAACUGCUCAUCAAAUUACAUCAGCCUCCACCUGCUCUUGGGUCCAGCUCCCCUCAACUCUUGACUCAACUCAACUUUGGCCAUCAUGGACACAGCAACUCCGCAGGCAAUAACAACCGCACUCACCCUCCAGGAACUCAUGGAAUCUUUCCGAUCCCUCAGGCAACAGGAAAGGAUUCUGGAGAUGCUUUUCCUGCGAAUUGCUGUGCCUCCAUUCUUCACCACCCACCAACUAAGGUCGUGGAGUUCCCUGCAUCACCGUUCCCUGAGAUGAGGGAGGGGAAGAACAGGGAAGACAUUGUGAUGCAUCUUGGGGUGAAAACUUAUCUCAAGUGUCUCCAAGGUUUUUAGAGAAAACACUUCAUUGUGGAAGUUUUUUUCGUAAAAGCCUGUCUUUUAUUGCCAAGUUUUGCUUCAUAAUCUCUUCAUUGCAGAUUUUACAUUUAUAUAAAAUGGAGUUUAAACCUGCCUUGCUCAUAUGUAUUUUACCUGUAUAACAGGUAUCAGUCAAUGUUCAUGCGUCUUUUGAAAUAAGAACAAUGAAUAAAAAGAGCUAUUGGCGAGCCUCUGUGCAUCA